UUAUUUAUUAUUUAUACACAGACACAUAUUUAUGAAAGUUCUUUUACGACUUACACCAUCAGCUCAGUUAAGAAAAAAAACACGCAUACGUAUACAAAACGAUGACAAAUUUUUUUCACGGGCUGCCUUACUGAGGGUGCCUAUAUUUUGAGAGCCAGUACAAUUGACAUUGCUCUGCUUAUUUCAUUAGAAAUUCUUUUGAAUAUAAAAGCAAAAUACACAAUAUAUUUUUCAAAGCAAGAAAAAGAAAAAAAAAAUAUAAUGAAAUAAAAUAAAAUUUGAAGAAAAUAUGCUGAGAAAGCUUAAAAAAUCAUUGCCCUGGCUUUAACUACCGGAAAUUCCUUUGUGCUGCUGGUGCUGAUUUGGAGGCGACCACGCCCUAUCGCAAGACAUGCCGCCCACUUUUGAGCCAGCAAUUCGACUCCACCGUCGCACUCACGCCCGCACAAUUUUUCGCUGUUGACAAUUUUGGCGGUUGUUGUGGCAACACGUGACUUGCAAGCCAAGCGAGAAUGGCGGAGGAGAGUAAGAGAAGCCGCCAGAGAAAUGGCGGAGACUGAGAUGGCGGAGGGAAAAGUAACUGGGAAUGCGAAAGAAUGUUUCUUCUUUUCAGGAGAUACUUUAAACUGGUUGUCGCACUCAACUCACGCCCUUGACCCACCCCACCGAUCACAUUGAAAUCAGUUUCAAAAUAAUUCGCUGUUGAAAUUCAAUUUGUUAUUUCCACUUGCCAAUCUCUUCCUUUCUCUGUUCAUCUCAAUCUCCCUUUUCUCUCUGUCUCCCUCCAUAUUGGGUGUCGCAUUAAUGCUUCAAUAGCUUAAUUGGCAGAAACAUUUUUAUUUAGAGAGAAAAGAAGUAAAUUAUGUCAUUAGAGCUCAAUUUGCUCAUUAAUGCGGACCCGGUAGCGAAAAGAAAGAAUCUCGUCAACCUUGCAGGAUGAGAUUUCGAAUUCGAGUGCUCCGGGCACACAUGUCGAAUGCGCAAUUGUCCUGAGUGGCCACUUGGGAAAAUUGUGGCAACUGAACUGAAGAGAGCCAAGACAAGGAGUAAAGGGAGCUAGUUUAGCAAUUCAUUCAUCCUUGAGAUGAAAGGAUUUUAAACUUAGCUGAAGCAGUUCAAGGACUACCGGCGACUCUGAUAUCAGCAAUUUAGUUUUCCUAGGAUUUAAUUCGCAUAGAUUUUAUACUUUCAUGAAAAAAACUUCUUAUAAAUUGUAGCAUUAUAAACAUAUUACUUGUGCUUGAACUCUGGAUUUGGGAACAAUUUUUCAUCAUCACCUGCUGCGAUAUAGCCUGUAGAAGGAUAUGGAACACACGCGCCACCUUCAUCAGUAAUAUUUAUUUCAACUUUAUCAUCAAGGACACCAUUGGUUGUGUCUAGACGGGCCUUAGACCGUUGCUGCCUUUGGCUUCGUUUAUUUUUUCAUCGAAACAUUUGCAUUUUCAAAGUCAGGGAGAAUCCGUUUCCAUUGAAGUUUUGCUGGGCUAAGCAAAUCAAAUGAAGUUAUAAGCGUUUCACUAACAAAUUGAGCAAACACUUGACGGCUAGCUUUAUUAGAGAAAUGGAAGCCAGUCUCGAUGUGCGCAUAAUUUAUGGUUGCGAUUGUCUGCCUCCCUUCUUUGGGACAUAGCAGAUAACGAGGCACGUCAAUGUUCGCUAAUAAACUCAAGAAGGAUUAAUUUCGUGAUUUAUGAUAUGCAAUAGAGUAAGAAAGAAGGAAGGAUGACCGACCGUAUAAGCUUAAUAAGCUUUGACUGGCUGACAUAAAAUCCCUAGCAUACUUUUCAGCUGUGGCAGGUAUUACCGGCAUUUGUUAAUUAAUUUCGCAGAAUCAAGUGAAAUAGAUACUCGUAUUCUGAAGGUUUAAAUAUACAACCUUCAUUUUUUUUAAACCAAUUUCAU